rnacentral:rRNA from 1 species
GGCUCAGAACGAACGCUGGCGGCAGGCUUAACACAUGCAAGUCGAACGCCCCGCAAGGGGAGUGGCAGACGGGUGAGUAACGCGUGGGAACAUACCCUUUCCUGCGGAAUAGCUCCGGGAAACUGGAAUUAAUACCGCAUACGCCCUACGGGGGAAAGAUUUAUCGGGGAAGGAUUGGCCCGCGUUGGAUUAGCUAGUUGGUGGGGUAAAGGCCUACCAAGGCGACGAUCCAUAGCUGGUCUGAGAGGAUGAUCAGCCACAUUGGGACUGAGACACGGCCCAAACUCCUACGGGAGGCAGCAGUGGGGAAUAUUGGACAAUGGGCGCAAGCCUGAUCCAGCCAUGCCGCGUGAGUGAUGAAGGCCUUAGGGUUGUAAAGCUCUUUCACCGAUGAAGAUAA